AUUGAACGCUGGCGGCAUGCUUUACACAUGCAAGUCGAACGGCAGCACGGGCUUCGGCCUGGUGGCGAGUGGCGAACGGGUGAGUAAUGCAUCGGAACGUGCCCAUUUGUGGGGGAUAACUACGCGAAAGCGUGGCUAAUACCGCAUACGCCCUGAGGGGGAAAGCGGGGGAUUCUUCGGAACCUCGCGCAAUUGGAGCGGCCGAUGUCAGAUUAGCUUGUUGGUGAGGUAAAGGCUCACCAAGGCGACGAUCUGUAGCGGGUCUGAGAGGAUGAUCCGCCACACUGGGACUGAGACACGGCCCAGACUCCUACGGGAGGCAGCAGUGGGGAAUUUUGGACAAUGGGGGCAACCCUGAUCCAGCCAUGCCGCGUGAGUGAAGAAGGCCUCGGUUGUAAG
rnacentral:rRNA from 1 species